ensembl:rRNA 5S_rRNA 5S ribosomal RNA
GCUUAUGGCCAUACCACCCUGAGCACUUCUCAAAAUAGUCUGGUCCUUGAAGCUAAGUAAGGUUGGCCUUAGGUAGUACUUGCUGCAAGCUUCUUGGGGUGGGUGUAGCUCAGGAGGUAGAGCU